CAAGCUAUACUUAGGGUUAAUUUUUAUUUACAUUAAAAAUUUAUUUGUGCAAUUCAAAUUAGCUUGA
rnacentral:tRNA from 1 species